GUCUCCAUGCUUCUGCAUCUGAAGGAUGCGUGAUCUCUCCAUCUCUUCUAUGCUCUACAUGCCAUCUCAUUGCCUCAGCCGUACGUUCUGAUUGGUAUAAUCUCUUCAAUCUGUCAGUUAUUGGUAAAUACCACAUUCGCUUAUAAGGGACUGAAACUCUGCCAGAUGUUUCCUGAAAUCGUGGUUUGCGACACCAUUUACAUCUUCUCCGGUUUUCGUCUUCUCUCCAAUAUAUCAUACAAUUGUCGACACACACAUCUAUAA
rnacentral:lncRNA from 1 species